UUACUGUUUAGUCCUUUUUCUUAUGUUUAUUGCAGAACAUCGAUUUGAUAACCAUGUUAUGAUCCCUGCAAUAUAGUUUAAUUGCAUAAAGAUAUUUAAAUAUGUUAUUAUAAUUUUUUGUACUCUCACAUUUGGUUUAGAUAAUGAUAUAUUUUUGUGUUAAUUCCUAAUGUUAGAGGAUUGUGGAUUUCAAUAGGUGGUAACCACCAAAGUGGCCCAUUCAUUGAGAUUUGUAGGAUUUCUCUAUUUGAUAUUUAAGGAGAUUAGAUAUGUUAAAUUUUGACAGAUUGCUUGAUAUUGGUGUAUCAAGAUGAAUGAAUACAUUUAUAGGUAU
rnacentral:lncRNA from 1 species